rnacentral:rRNA from 1 species
CCUGGCGGCCAUAGCGCGGUGGUCCCACCUGAUCCCAUGCCGAACUCAGAAGUGAAACGCCGUAGCGCCGAUGGUAGUGUGGGGUCUC